rnacentral:rRNA from 1 species
ACUAAGCGUACACGGUGGAUGCCCUGGCAGUCAGAGGCGAUGAAGGACGUGCUAAUCUGCGAUAAGCGUCGGUAAGGUGAUAUGAACCGUUAUAACCGGCGAUUUCCGAAUGGGGAAACCCAGUGUGAUUCGUCACACUAUCAUUAACUGAAUCCAUAGGUUAAUGAGGCGAACCGGGGGAACUGAAACAUCUAAGUACCCCGAGGAAAAGAAAUCAACCGAGAUUCCCCCAGUAGCGGCGAGCGAACGGGGAGCAGCCCAGAGCCUGAAUCAGUGUGUGUGUUAGUGGAAGCGUCUGGAAAGGCGCGCGAUACAGGGUGACAGCCCCGUACACAAAAAUGCACAUGCUGUGAGCUCGAUGAGUAGGGCGGGACACGUGGUAUCCUGUCUGAAUAUGGGGGGACCAUCCUCCAAGGCUAAAUACUCCUGACUGACCGAUAGUGAACCAGUACCGUGAGGGAAAGGCGAAAAGAACCCCGGCGAGGGGAGUGAAAAAGAACCUGAAACCGUGUACGUACAAGCAGUGGGAGCCUCUUUAUGGGGUGACUGCGUACCUUUUGUAUAAUGGGUCAGCGACUUAUAUUCUGUAGCAAGGUUAACCGAAUAGGGGAGCCGAAGGGAAACCGAGUCUUAACUGGGCGUUAAGUUGCAGGGUAUAGACCCGAAACCCGGUGAUCUAGCCAUGGGCAGGUUGAAGGUUGGGUAACACUAACUGGAGGACCGAACCGACUAAUGUUGAAAAAUUAGCGGAUGACUUGUGGCUGGGGGUGAAAGGCCAAUCAAACCGGGAGAUAGCUGGUUCUCCCCGAAAGCUAUUUAGGUAGCGCCUCGUGAAUUCAUCUCCGGGGGUAGAGCACUGUUUCGGCAAGGGGGUCAUCCCGACUUACCAACCCGAUGCAAACUGCGAAUACCGGAGAAUGUUAUCACGGGAGACACACGGCGGGUGCUAACGUCCGUCGUGAAGAGGGAAACAACCCAGACCGCCAGCUAAGGUCCCAAAGUCAUGGUUAAGUGGGAAACGAUGUGGGAAGGCCCAGACAGCCAGGAUGUUGGCUUAGAAGCAGCCAUCAUUUAAAGAAAGCGUAAUAGCUCACUGGUCGAGUCGGCCUGCGCGGAAGAUGUAACGGGGCUAAACCAUGCACCGAAGCUGCGGCAGCGACGCUUAUGCGUUGUUGGGUAGGGGAGCGUUCUGUAAGCCUGCGAAGGUGUACUGUGAGGUAUGCUGGAGGUAUCAGAAGUGCGAAUGCUGACAUAAGUAACGAUAAAGCGGGUGAAAAGCCCGCUCGCCGGAAGACCAAGGGUUCCUGUCCAACGUUAAUCGGGGCAGGGUGAGUCGACCCCUAAGGCGAGGCCGAAAGGCGUAGUCGAUGGGAAACAGGUUAAUAUUCCUGUACUUGGUGUUACUGCGAAGGGGGGACGGAGAAGGCUAUGUUGGCCGGGCGACGGUUGUCCCGGUUUAAGCGUGUAGGCUGGUUUUCCAGGCAAAUCCGGAAAAUCAAGGCUGAGGCGUGAUGACGAGGCACUACGGUGCUGAAGCAACAAAUGCCCUGCUUCCAGGAAAAGCCUCUAAGCAUCAGGUAACAUCAAAUCGUACCCCAAACCGACACAGGUGGUCAGGUAGAGAAUACCAAGGCGCUUGAGAGAACUCGGGUGAAGGAACUAGGCAAAAUGGUGCCGUAACUUCGGGAGAAGGCACGCUGAUAUGUAGGUGAAGUCCCUUGCGGAUGGAGCUGAAAUCAGUCGAAGAUACCAGCUGGCUGCAACUGUUUAUUAAAAACACAGCACUGUGCAAACACGAAAGUGGACGUAUACGGUGUGACGCCUGCCCGGUGCCGGAAGGUUAAUUGAUGGGGUUAGCGGUAACGCGAAGCUCUUGAUCGAAGCCCCGGUAAACGGCGGCCGUAACUAUAACGGUCCUAAGGUAGCGAAAUUCCUUGUCGGGUAAGUUCCGACCUGCACGAAUGGCGUAAUGAUGGCCAGGCUGUCUCCACCCGAGACUCAGUGAAAUUGAACUCGCUGUGAAGAUGCAGUGUACCCGCGGCAAGACGGAAAGACCCCGUGAACCUUUACUAUAGCUUGACACUGAACAUUGAGCCUUGAUGUGUAGGAUAGGUGGGAGGCUUUGAAGUGUGGACGCCAGUCUGCAUGGAGCCGACCUUGAAAUACCACCCUUUAAUGUUUGAUGUUCUAACGUUGGCCCCUAAUCGGGGUUGCGGACAGUGUCUGGUGGGUAGUUUGACUGGGGCGGUCUCCUCCUAAAGAGUAACGGAGGAGCACGAAGGUUGGCUAAUCCUGGUCGGACAUCAGGAGGUUAGUGCAAUGGCAUAAGCCAGCUUGACUGCGAGCGUGACGGCGCGAGCAGGUGCGAAAGCAGGUCAUAGUGAUCCGGUGGUUCUGAAUGGAAGGGCCAUCGCUCAACGGAUAAAAGGUACUCCGGGGAUAACAGGCUGAUACCGCCCAAGAGUUCAUAUCGACGGCGGGGUUUGGCACCUCGAUGUCGGCUCAUCACAUCCUGGGGCUGAAGUAGGUCCCAAGGGUAUGGCUGUUCGCCAUUUAAAGUGGUACGCGAGCUGGGUUUAGAACGUCGUGAGACAGUUCGGUCCCUAUCUGCCGUGGGCGCUGGAGAACUGAGGGGGGCUGCUCCUAGUACGAGAGGACCGGAGUGGACGCAUCACUGGUGUUCGGGUUGUCAUGCCAAUGGCACUGCCCGGUAGCUAAAUGCGGAAGAGAUAAGUGCUGAAAGCAUCUAAGCACGAAACUUGCCCCGAGAUGAGUUCUCCCUGACUCCCUGAGAGUCCUGAAGGAACGUUGAAGACGACGACGUUGAUAGGCCGGGUGUGUAAGCGCAGCGAUGCGUUGAGCUAACCGGUACUAAUGAACCGUGAGGCUUAACC